CGAAAAAACGAAGACAAUAAUACCCCCAAGAUCAUUACAAGGCUUGCUAUGGAGCAUAUGAGAGAUUAUAAAAACCCAACUCACUCUAGAGGUACCGAGAAAACCGUCAACAUCCAUCUGAGAGUGGGUCCGCUCCCUCCAAGACCGACCCCCGCACCCCGCACAGUGCCUCAGGCUGCGCUGCACCCUGGACCAACCUCCAUGUCAGAGACGCAAGAGGAAUGUAGAGCAGGGCAGGACUCUCGCCCAACUUUGGAGAAAUAGCACACUUUCAGACAGAAUGAACAAGUAUUGUUUCCGGAGUGGGUCUCUGUGACGUCACAAGGACCAGACUACAUUUCCCACAAGUCUGCGCGAAGGAAUUCCGGGAACCCAAGUGUGGCGAUUUCUUCUGUUCCUGAACUUGUCCUUGGCAACCAGCAGUAGAGUAUGGAAGAAGAAGAAGCGGGGAUUGCAAGGCAGCCUGGGGAGUGAGGCUGGAGUUCACCUCCUGAUCCACAACACGAGACGUGUGAAUGUGGUCCUGAGCAAGAGAAGAGAGCAGGCUGGAGAAGCCAGUGAGCAGCAUUCCCCCAUGGCUUCUGCCUCCCAUUUCCUGUGCUGACUCCCCUGUCAUCUGGAAGUGUAAACUGAAAUAAACCUUUUCCUCCCCAA